AUGGCUCAGGACGAACGCUGGCGGCGUGCUUAACACAUGCAAGUCGAACGAAGAUACGGGAGAGCUUGCUCGAAGGUAUCUGAGUGGCGGACGGGUGAGUAACGCGUCCGAACAAUCUGUCUCAUACAGGGGGAUAACGCGUCGAAAGACGUGCUAAUACCGCGUAGGACCACGGAGUCGCAUGGCUCUGGGGUGAAAGGAGCAAUCCGGUAUGAGGUGAGUUCGCGUCUGAUUAGAUAGUUGGUGAGGUAACGGCCCACCAAGUCAACGAUCAGUAGCCGACCUGAGAGGGUGAUCGGCCACAUUGGGACUGAGACACGGCCCAGACUCCUACGGGAGGCAGCAGUGGGGAAUAUUGGGCAAUGGGCGAAAGCCCUGACCCAGCAACGCCGCGUGAGGGAAGAAAGUUUUCGGAUUGUAAACCUCUGUCCUACAUGAAGAGUUAGAGACGGUAGUGUAGGAGGAAGCCCCGGCUAACUACGUGCCAGCCGCGGC
rnacentral:rRNA from 1 species